UACAGGGGGUGCAAACGUUGCUCGGAAUUACUGGGCGUAAAGAGCGCGCAGGCGGUCGUUAAAGUCGAGUGGGAAAGCCCCCGGCUCAACUGGGGAGGGUCACUCGAUACUGAUCGACUUGAAGGCAGGAGAGGGAAGCGGAAUUCCCGGUGUAGUGGUGAAAUGCGUAGAUAUCGGGAGGAACACCAGUGGCGAAGGCGGCUUCCUGGCCUGUUCUUGACGCUGAGGCGCGAAAGCUAGGGGAGCAAACGGG
rnacentral:rRNA from 1 species